AACGAACGCUGGCGGCAUGCCUAACACAUGCAAGUCGAACGAGACCUUCGGGUCUAGUGGCGCACGGGUGCGUAACGCGUGGGAAUCUGCCCUUGGGUUCGGAAUAACUUCGGGAAACUGAAGCUAAUACCGGAUGAUGACGUAAGUCCAAAGAUUUAUCGCCCAAGGAUGAGCCCGCGUAGGAUUAGCUAGGUGGUGGGGUAAAGGCCUACCAAGGCGACGAUCCUUAGCUGGUCUGAGAGGAUGAUCAGCCACACUGGGACUGAGACACGGCCCAGACUCCUACGGGAGGCAGCAGUUGGGAAUAUUGGACAAUGGGCGAAUGCCUGAUCCAGCAAUGCCGCGUGAGUGAUGAAGGCCUUAGGGUUGUAAAGCUCUUUUACCCGGGAUGAUAAUGACAGUACCGGGAGAAUAAGCUCCGGCUAACUUCGUGCCAGCCGCCGCAGUAACAC
rnacentral:rRNA from 1 species